rnacentral:rRNA from 1 species
CAGUAGCCGCGGUAAUACGUAGGUGGCAAGCGUUGUCCGGAAUUAUUGGGCGUAAAGGGCUCGCAGGCGGUUUCUUAAGUCUGAUGUGAAAGCCCCCGGCCCAACCGGGGAGGGUCAUUGGAAACUGGGAAACUUGAGUGCAGAAGAGGAGAGUGGAAUUCCACGUGUAGCGGUGAAAUGCGUAGAGAUGUGGAGGAACACCAGUGGCGAAGGCGACUCUCUGGUCUGUAACUGACGCUGAGGAGCGAAAGCGUGGGGAGCAAACAGGAUUAGAUACCCGCGUAGUCCCUGUCUCUUAUAC